GACCUUCUCAUGUCAUUUAUUUUAGUUUCUUAUUUUUUAAAUAGACACAAAAUUUUACAUAUUUAUGGGGUGUCAUGUGCUGUUUUGAUACACGUUUACAUUGUAUAAUAUUUAAAUCUGGAGAAACAUAGCUAUCUCAAACACUGAUCUCUUCUUUGAGGUGAAAACAUUCAGAAUCCUCUUGUUGCUUCUUUGAAAUCAAUGGUGCAUUGCUGUAUGCGAAGUCACAGCUCAUUUCUUCUGUCUAACUGUAUGUAACACAGCACCUGUUGACCCACUUUCCCCUGCUCUGCUCAGCCAGGGUAACCACUAUUUUACUUUCAAUUUUUAUGAGAUAACUUCUAUAAGAUAACAAGUGAGAUCAUGCAGUAUUUGUCUUUCUGUCUGGCUGAUUUUGCUUAGCAUAACCACCUCCAGAUCCAUCCAUGCUGUCCCAAAAAAUUACAUCCUUUCCUGUGGCUGGAACCUGCUCCCCUGUAUGUGUGCAGCACCCUUUCUUCAUCUGCCCAUCAGCUGGUAGAUGCUUAGUUUAAUUCCGUUUUUUGGCCCUUGUGACUAGCGCAGCAGGAAAAUGGGGAGUGCACACGUCUCUUUGGAACACUGAUUCCACUUCUUUUGGACAUAGGGAUUCUGUUCUACCUUUUUAGUUUUUCCGAGGGACCUCCAUAUUGUUUUUUACAGUGGCUGCACUCAUUUCCAUUCCUGCCAACAGUGUUAAGGGAUUCCUUUUCCUCCACAUCCUGGAGAGAGCAGUGUUUGUAUGCAGCCAGAGGCCACACAUGUGCUUCCUAUCCCGACCAGGUCCCCUGUCCUGGGGACCACAGGCUGGGGGUGAAAGUGACCCCUUUUACUGUUAUACUCAGCAAUCCAUUCAGGGGAUCUUGUUUUCCAUCCUUAAAACUAUAGGAUCAGUGGGCUUGGAAAUCCUUAGGGGCCAAGAAGAAGUGCUUCCACAAAGGAAGGUAGUUGCAGGUCUGUUUAAUUAGAAGCCAAGAUGGUCCUGGGCACUUGGGGUCCUUAUGUUGAGCCUCCAGGAAGACAAGGGGUCAGUGUAGUGUCAGGGAUUUGUCACAAUACCCAGGGGAUAACAAGGCUGUUGCUACACCAUGGGGACAAGCAUGGUGCCUAGAGCCCAGGGGUUUCUUGGGGCCCUGGUACCCCAAUGACCCAUGUUCCCAUUCUCUAAGUCCAGGGUAGGAGCAGAAUGUAGAUUCCUCUGGCUCCUUGAGAUGCUGAGCUGUCUGUACAUGCCACACAGUUUAGGUCAUGCUGCCCCAGACACCUGUUACCCUCAAGAGUUCUAAAGUGCUUCCAGAGCGGCCUUCAAGACUGCUGCAUGUUCUUUGGGAAUGGGGAGACUGUGACCACUUGAUACAGAGCACCAUGAACUCAGACCCUCUGUGAGGGAAGAUUGGGGUCAUGCUGCCAGGUGAGAUGCCCCACGGCUCAGUGGUCAGACAUGGGCCAGCUUGGAGGCCAGUUUAAUGUUCACUGUCUCCCUGCUCACCUCAGUGUGGCUGCACUGCGAUUUGAGUUCUAGGGUGUGGAACAAACGUGACAUCACCCUGGACUGUAUGGUGGCUGAUGGAACUUCUUGGUGCUCUCUCUUUGGGGCCAUCUUUCUCCCCUGAUCUGAGCACGAUUCACAAAUGGUGAGGGGUUGAUUCACCAUUAGCUUCUGCUGGUUUGGUUACGGAACAGCCCAGGGUAGGGGUUGGCCGGACAGGAGGAGGCCUCCCCAACUCCACUCCCAGUGGGUUGCAGUGGGGAAGGAGUUUUGAUCUCCGCCUGUGACUCCCCCACCAGUGCUGCAGCAUUAACUCUAACCCUAACCCUAACCCAAGUCCCAAUUGGUUACAGCUUCACACUAUGACUGUCCUCUGGCAGGUCACCUCCCCACACUGCCUUCCCUUAACCUUGGUUGACCUCUAUGACAUCCUUCCACUAAAUGCUGUCCAACCCUGCUUUCCUGAGAGGACAUGGAGCAAGGAGCGCCCUGCCAGGAGGGGUCUCAGGGGGUGACGGUCAGGGACACCAGGGUGCAGGGCAGAAGGCUGGUCGGGUGAGGUGGCCCCUCUGGACACAGGUGCCCUGUCUUUGUGCUACAACUGGACAGUGGCUGGCAUGUGAAUGUGCUCCAGGGACUCAGUGUGGCACCUCUCAGUGACAGGGCCAAGGGCAUUGCAGAUGGCUGUUAUCACAGGCUAGGACGAGUCUUCAACAGUGAGACUGAGGGGUGCGGGUCACCCUUGUGGACAUAGUGGGCUUUGCACUCCUCUCCACUGAGUGUCUGAAAGCAGGACCAACCCCUUUGGGAUCGAGUUACUCUCUGGGGUUUGGGGACAGCUGAAGAAACUGCUCAAGCCACUUGGAUCCCCAAGACUACUACAUCCCUCCCUUAGCAGCAGACAUCACAACAAAGGCAUGAGAUUUCACUUGUUUUUCUCUCUCUGCACGGUCAACCUUGGAUAGGUGCAUGUCUCCAGGUGUCUCUGAGGAGGAAGGGGUGAGCUCUCCCCCCAUCCUGCAUAAGCCCUCGGGCUCCAGCUGUCUUUAGGUGUGUAAGUGGGGAAAAUGGAAGCAACCCAAGGGUAUAAUAAAAGGGCUGUGCAGAGCUGUGUGCACAUUAGGUACCACCUUUUUGGGUCCCACAAGAGUGCUACCCUCUUUCCUCCAAAGUAAGUCCCAAACAGAAAAUGCAAGUCAGCCUUGAAAACUAGAGUUCAGAAAAAAGCCAGCCCCAAUCAGCUUAUCCUAGCCUUCCCUGCCCUCACUAUUUUCUUGCUCAUUGGCUGCUCUGUAAGGCAGGGAAGGCCGGGAUGGGCUCAUUGGGGUUGGCAUUUCUGAUCUCAUUUUCAAGGCUGAUUAUUUUCUGGCCAGGUCUUAUUUUCAGAGGAAACAGUAAGUAUGAAGCCUGCAGCAGCAAUGUGGAAAACACGCAUGUGCUGUAGCAUUGGGAGAGUCUGAUGUGAAGUUGUACAACUGAUGGAAUGUGUGAAAAAUUCAGCUUGGACGUGAACCAGAGAUGGACGGGGAAUAUGUGCACAAAAUAAAUUGUUUUGUUGUGGGGGAGGGGUUGGGAGUGAUUUUUAUAUUUUCUAGCCUUUCUGGACUGUUACUGUUCCCUCUUGCCACCAAAGAAAGUGACAAGAGAUAAGAUGGGAAAUAUUAGCGAAUCUAGGUGUGAAAAAAAAUUAAUUGGGUCCAAGGAGCCCAAUGUGAGUGUGCUUGAGAUGGGGGGUAGGCAGGAUUCUGGGUUCCGUAAGCUCCCCAGGGUUGCAGAGGGUGGUCCUCCAGCCACAGUCUGAGUGGCACAGCCCUGGGGCAUCCUGCUGUCACUCCCAGGGCUUUAGAGAGCUCCAGGGAGCUCCACCAGACCUGUCCUGCUCCCAGACCCAGCGUGAGCUGACUAGGAGUCAGCUGUGAUCUGGGUGUGGCCUGUGCCAGUGGCUUCUUUCGGAAGUGCCUGGCGUCUCUGAGGUAGGUUCCGAGGGCAGUUGACUUUGCUUAAGACUCUGCCCCCUCCCACGUGUGUGGCCACUGCCUCUGCUGCCACCUCUCUGUGUCCGACACAGUAGGGAGGGGACACCUGGUAACCUGGAUGCUGCCUGCACAGCAGUGGCCUUGUCUGUUCUCAGGAGGUCACCCAGCAGUGACAGUGCUUUGGAAAUCCAUUUCCCAGGUGGCCUGGGUGGGCUGGGUACCAUGGCCAGGUGAUGGGAGGGAAGGCUGAGGUUUCCCUCUGCUCCUGACGGAAUGCAGGCCAUGCCUUGGGAAGAGGCAGAGGGAGGGACUCUGCUGAUCUGGCCUACACAUCGCCUGUGAAAACAAUGGCAACGACAUAAGCCGGGGACACCGUGUCCCUCGAGGUCAGGUGCCCGAGGGUUGCUGUAUCUUCUGACCAAGGGUCCUGGAUGGGAUCCAGGCUUCACAGGGAGAGGGGACUCUGGGGACCCAGCUUCUCCUGAGGAUGUGGAGCCCAGAAAGGACCCUUGCA
rnacentral:lncRNA from 1 species